UACAGAGGUCCCAAGCGUUGUUCGGAUUCAUUGGGCGUAAAGGGUGCGUAGGCGGCGCGGUAAGUCGGGUGUGAAAUCUCGGGGCUUAACUCCGAAACUGCAUUCGAUACUGCCGUGCUUGAGGACUGGAGAGGAGACUGGAAUUUACGGUGUAGCGGUGAAAUGCGUAGAUAUCGUAAGGAAGACCAGUGGCGAAGGCGGAUCUCUGGGCCCUACCUGACGCUGAGGCGCGAAAGCUAGGGGAGCGAACAGG
rnacentral:rRNA from 1 species